rnacentral:rRNA from 1 species
UUGAACGCUGGCGGCAGGCCUAACACAUGCAAGUCGAGCGGUAACACAGAGAGCUUGCUCUCGGGUGACGAGCGGCGGACGGGUGAGUAAUGUCUGGGAAACUGCCUGAUGGAGGGGGAUAACUACUGGAAACGGUAGCUAAUACCGCAUAACGUCGCAAGACCAAAGUGGGGGACCUUCGGGCCUCAUGCCAUCAGAUGUGCCCAGAUGGGAUUAGCUAGUAGGUGGGGUAACGGCUCACCUAGGCGACGAUCCCUAGCUGGUCUGAGAGGAUGACCAGCCACACUGGAACUGAGACACGGUCCAGACUCCUACGGGAGGCAGCAGUGGGGAAUAUUGCACAAUGGGCGCAAGCCUGAUGCAGCCAUGCCGCGUGUGUGAAGAAGGCCUUCGGGUUGUAAAGCACUUUCAGCGGGGAGGAAGGCGGUGAGGUUAAUAACCUCAUCGAUUGACGUUACCCGCAGAAGAAGCACCGGCUAACUCCGUGCCAGCAGCCGCGGUAAUACGGAGGGUGCAAGCGUUAAUCGGAAUUACUGGGCGUAAAGCGCACGCAGGCGGUCUGUCAAGUCGGAUGUGAAAUCCCCGGGCUCAACCUGGGAACUGCAUUCGAAACUGGCAGGCUAGAGUCUUGUAGAGGGGGGUAGAAUUCCAGGUGUAGCGGUGAAAUGCGUAGAGAUCUGGAGGAAUACCGGUGGCGAAGGCGGCCCCCUGGACAAAGACUGACGCUCAGGUGCGAAAGCGUGGGGAGCAAACAGGAUUAGAUACCCUGGUAGUCCACGCCGUAAACGAUGUCGAUUUGGAGGUCGUGCCCUUGAGGCGUGGCUUCCGGAGCUAACGCGUUAAAUCGACCGCCUGGGGAGUACGGCCGCAAGGUUAAAACUCAAAUGAAUUGACGGGGGCCCGCACAAGCGGUGGAGCAUGUGGUUUAAUUCGAUGCAACGCGAAGAACCUUACCUGGUCUUGACAUCCACAGAACUUUCCAGAGAUGGAUUGGUGCCUUCGGGAACUGUGAGACAGGUGCUGCAUGGCUGUCGUCAGCUCGUGUUGUGAAAUGUUGGGUUAAGUCCCGCAACGAGCGCAACCCUUAUCCUUUGUUGCCAGCGGUUAGGCCGGGAACUCAAAGGAGACUGCCAGUGAUAAACUGGAGGAAGGUGGGGAUGACGUCAAGUCAUCAUGGCCCUUACGACCAGGGCUACACACGUGCUACAAUGGCAUAUACAAAGAGAAGCGACCUCGCGAGAGCAAGCGGACCUCAUAAAGUAUGUCGUAGUCCGGAUUGGAGUCUGCAACUCGACUCCAUGAAGUCGGAAUCGCUAGUAAUCGUAGAUCAGAAUGCUACGGUGAAUACGUUCCCGGGCCUUGUACACACCGCCCGUCACACCAUGGGAGUGGGUUGCAAAAGAAGUAGGUAGCUUAACCUUCGGGAGGGCGCUUACCACUUUGUGAUUCAUGACUGGGGUG